CCUACGGGGGGCUGUAGUGGGGAAUAUUGCGCAAUGGGCGAAAGCCUGACGCAGCGACGCCGCGUGGGUGAUGAAGGCCUUCGGGUUGUAAAGCCCUGUCGGGUGGAACGAACGAUCUGGCGGCGAAUAACCGCCGGGUGUGACGGUACCACCGAAGGAAGCCCCGGCUAACUACGUGCCAGCAGCCGCGGUAAGACGUAGGGGGCAAGCGGUAUUCGGAAGUAUUGGGCGUAAAGGGUGCGUAGGCGGUGUAAUCCCCGAGCUCAACUUGGGAACUGCAUCUGAGACUGGAAGGCUAGAGUACUGGAGAGGGUGGUGGAAUUCCUCGUGUAGCGGUGAAAUGCGUAGAGAUGAGGAGGAACACCAGUGGCGAAGGCGGCCACCUGGACAGUAACUGACGCUGAGGCGCGAAAGUGUGGGUAGCAAACAGGAUUAGAUACCCUUGUAGUC
rnacentral:rRNA from 1 species